rnacentral:lncRNA from 1 species
AUAUGAUGUACAUGCCUAUUUAUUUACGUCACCUCCCGCACUAUAUGCUCAUACUGGAUCCAACUUAAGUGCACAGUCUUGUCGUACAGACCUUAUUUGUGGUUCCGACUCGUAGGUGACUAGCGAUUUAUCGCCUGGCUAUUAUGAGAGAGAAAAAUUGAGCAUAAUUAUAUUACACCCAAUCUUGUCGUACAUACCCCUUUUUAAUGGUUCCGACUUAUGUGCAGUAUAUUGCCGUAUAGGUCAUUGUAGUGACUCCGGCUAUAUUG